rnacentral:rRNA from 1 species
UGCAGGAAGACGGCUCUAUGAGUUGUAAACUGCUUUUGUACGAGGGUAAACGCAGAUACGUGUAUCUGCCUGAAAGUAUCGUACGAAUAAGGAUCGGCUAACUCCGUGCCAGCAGCCGCGGUAAUACGGAGGAUCCAAGCGUUAUCCGGAUUUAUUGGGUUUAAAGGGUGCGUAGGCGGUUUAGUAAGUCAGCGGUGAAAUUUUGGUGCUUAACACCAAACGUGCCGUUGAUACUGCUGGGCUAGAGAGUAGUUGCGGUAGGCGGAAUGUAUGGUGUAGCGGUGAAAUGCUUAGAGAUCAUACAGAACACCGAUUGCGAAGGCAGCUUACCAAACUAUAUCUGACGUUGAGGCACGAAAGCGUGGGGAGCAAACAGGAUUAGAUACCCUGGUAGUCCACGCAGUAAACGAUGAUAGCUCGUUGUCGGCGAUACACAGUCGGUGACUAAGAGAAAUCGAUAAGCUAUCCACCUGGGGAGUACGUUCGCAAGAAUGAAACUCAAAGGAAUUGACGGGGGCCCGCACAAGCGGAGGAACAUGUGGUUUAAUUCGAUGAUACGCGAGGAACCUUACCCGGGCUUGAAAGUUACUGACGAUUCUGGAAACAGGAUUUCCCUUCGGGGCAGGAAACUAGGUGCUGCAUGGUUGUCGUCAGCUCGUGCCGUGAGGUGUCGGGUUAAGUCCCAUAACGAGCGCAACCCCUACUGAUAGUUGCCAUCAGAGCGUUUGAGCGAUCAAACAAGCUGGGCACUCUAUCGGGACUGCCGGUGAUAAGCCGAGAGGAAGGUGGGGAUGACGUCAAAUCAGCACGGCCCUUACGUCCGGGGCGACACACGUGUUACAAUGGGGGGUACAGAGGGCAGCCACCCAGUGAUGGGGAGCGAAUCUCGAAAGCCUAUCUCAGUUCGGAUUGGAGGCUGAAACUCGCCUCCAUGAAGUUGGAUUCGCUAGUAAUCGCGCAUCAGCCAUGGCGCGGUGAAUACGUUCCCGGGCCUUGUACACACCGCCCGUCAAGCCAUGGGAGCCGGGGGUGCCUGAAGUUCGUGACCGAAAGGAGCGACCUAGGGCAAAACC